rnacentral:lncRNA from 10 species
UGGGAUCAUCAUCUGCAUUUGGUGCAUCAGGAAACCCAUGCCAUCCAUUGAACAAGUUUCACCGCAGUUGCUGGAUACCAGUGAUAUACAGAUUGGCUGGUCAAUAAAAACAAAUUCUCACAUAGUUCUUAUCUUACUUCCUAGUAGGUCUUGACUUUUUUUUUUUUUUUGGAUGCUUGUAGAGAUUGUCACCUGCCACAGAUUCAUUUUUCAUAAUGUAUAUUCUUAUUGGAGUCUUAUUCAUUAUUAAUAUUUAUUUAUUAUUUUUACUGAGACUGAGUUUCACUCUUGUCACCCAGGCUGGAGUGCAAUGGCUCACUGCAACCUCCACCUCCUGGGUUCAAGCGAUUCUCCUGCCUCAGCCUCCAGAGUAGCUGGGAUUAUAGGCACCCACCACCACGCCUGGCUAAUUUUUGUAUUUUCAGUAGAGACGAGGUUUCACCAUUUUGGUCAGGCUGGUCUCAAACUCCUGACCUCAGGUGAUCCACCUGCCUUGGCCUCCCAAAGUGCUGGGAUUAUCGGCAUGAGCCACCACGCCCAGCUCAUUAUUAAUAUUUACUAUGUUGGAGUAUUUUCUUAACAUUUAAAAAUUAAAAUAUUUCCUAAAAUAUUUAAGUAUUUAUUCAAUAUUAAAAACAAUGUAUUAAAAUUGUUUUACUUUUGAGCCAUUGACCCAUUUUGGGUGUUGGGGAGAGAACACAGCCUAACUAUAACUAAUAUGCAUAUGAUAAAUGUAAACAACACACAAAUAUUAGGAAAAUAUCUGAGGCAAGGUAUGUGCACUAUUGAAUGUCAUCUGAGAACUGACCAAUGAGAUUGUUCCAGUGCACUUAUUUUAAGAACAUACCAAUUAUGAAAACUUAAUGAGAGUUCUAUGAAAAUCAUAACUUAUAAAACAUUACCCUCACCCAGCACAUGUCUGCUACUUUUGGGAUAAAGAUGCCCAUCCAUAGAAGCCCCAAAUUUGUAAUUCUGUAAUUCUGCGUCAGGGUUUCUUGAAGGUCAAAGAAAAUCAACUCAACUUUCUUUUUAAUAUUAUGGGAGUGGAAUGGGUGGGAGGGGCCAACUUGUCCUGGGUGGCCUGUGACUUUCUGCUGUGUCACUGAAUGUCCUAAAUCUCAGGAAGCCCUUGGUCCCAGCAAACCUGGACAGUGGGUCAGCCUAGCAGAGGGCAUCAGGAAAACCUAUCCCUGUACGUGAGACAGAUUGAAUCCUAUCCUGUGAUGGUUACCCCUGUGCUCAGUUCAGUGAGGGGGUGGGAAGUCCUGUCUUCAUUUUCCCAGUGCAGAUGCACUAGGAGGUUAUUUAGGAAGGCAGGCGGCCCAUGAACGACCCUUAGACCCAUGCUGAUGAUAAGGUUUGGGCCUAAUGCAAUGAAUACAUUUCUCAUUUUUGAAUUGAAUAAAUAUAGUUCAUUCUGGGCAAAGCUGCCUCUGUCAUGCUGUCGGGACCUGUUAAAAUUUGGAUUAUCACUUGUCUAUGGCAGCUUUAACUUUUCCAGUUACCUGUUUCUAAUAUUUUAAUGUUUUGCAUUCAUAAAUCCACAGCUCUUGCCUACUCACGGUGGCUUCUGUCUUUUCUGCAUUCCCUGUCUGCCCUAUUUAGAUUAUUUUAGCAACUCUUCACACUUCUGCCCUCUCUACGUGUCCUUGCGUGGAUGAAGGAGAAAUGGGUUGUCAGAAGCCACCAGAUAUCAUGCCGUCAGCACGAUCACUUUCUUGGGCAAAUGGGUGGGGAUUAUUUUGAACUCUGGGGAAGUCAGAAUUCAUCCCUCAACCUAGUCUUCUUCUACCUCAAUCUCAUUUCCUCCCAAGAAAUUAAAUCUCUUCUUAGUUAACAAGCUUCUUAGAGUUUAGAGGGUUUUUUUUGUUUUGUUUUUGUUUUUGUUUUUCCCAGGGUCUCCCUUAUUUCUUUAAUCAGAUACAGGAAAGAACUCAGGCAGGUGCUGAACUACCCAUCCUUCGCAUCAUCUCCAGCCUCACCCGUGAAAACUUGAAGCUAUGCUCAGAAGUGGGAGACCAUUUGGCGAUCUUUUCGGUAAAUACAGCAAAAGGGAGAAAAAAGAACAAUACCUAAUGGAUCCAACUCCUGCGUCCAAGCAGACAGUUUAACCCCUGGGUCAUCGUGCUUGUAUUUCACUUAUUGGAUUGUUAAUAGAUUUUCUUCAUUUGUGUGAGACGUUGCGAAUGAUGUGCGGAGGCCGCCGCUUCCUCCGGCGCUGGGACUCGAGGUCCACCUGUAAGGAGAUGGCGUUAAAAGCUGCUGGAGUUGCUGCCUCCUGACAACAUCCCAGCUGUAGACUCGCAAUCGCAAUCCUCGGGUGGCAGUUUUAAUUAUCGGCACCGCGAUACCAUCAGCAAGUGUGUAAUUACGUGUCAGUUUCCUGGCUGUUGGGUAUGAAAAGUGGAUCCAGUGAAAUGAUGAUUGUGGAAGCUGUAGACUCAUAUUUAAACAAUUCAAAAUGUGUAACUGGCAGUGUCAUUAAACAGAGAGAGCCUGACCCCAGCUGUCACUUACUUUCCCUUAUGCAGAUUUGUUCGUGCUGUCUGUCAAAAGAACUCCAUGGGCUGAAAUGGGACAGAGGGAGGUGACAUAAUUCUCCGAGCAAAGAGGGCUGCUCUCCUUAACCCCACAGAGGCGUUCUUUUAGCCUAAACAAAUACGACUGCUGAAAUUGUAAAUAAACCAAGACCAUUACGGGAAAUUAUAUAGACUUUUGCCGAUGAAUACACAAAGGCAGAAUAUCAAACAGACAUCCCUUCUUAAAAAAUGUGAAUAAAACCUGCCCGAUUGUCAUGCACUUAAAGAAGAAGUACUGUGGUAAUUGGGAGGGUUGAUGUUUGAAGCAGAAAAUUAAAUGACCCUUUUAGUUUGAGAUCAAAAUGGUGGGUGCAAGAUGAAGAAAAGGGGGGGCUUAUUUUGAAAACUGCUCUGUAUCAACAGUGAGAAACAUGAAUGGAUAAAAAAAAUUACACAGAUUUAAAUAAACUUCA